UACGGGGGGGGCAAGCGUUGUUCGGAAUUACUGGGCGUAAAGGGCGCGUAGGCGGCCUGUUAAGUCGGACGUGAAAUCCCUCGGCUCAACCGGGGAACUGCGUCCGAUACUGGCGGGCUUGAAUUCGGGAGAGGGAUGUGGAAUUCCAGGUGUAGCGGUGAAAUGCGUAGAUAUCUGGAGGAACACCGGUGGCGAAGGCGGCAUCCUGGACCGGUAUUGACGCUGAGGCGCGAAAGCUAGGGGAGCAAACGGG
rnacentral:rRNA from 1 species